rnacentral:rRNA from 1 species
UACAGAGGUCCCGAGCGUUGUUCGGAUUCAUUGGGCGUAAAGGGUGCGUAGGCGGUUUUCUAAGUUUGAUGUGAAAUCCCGGGGCUCAACCCUGGAAUUGCAUUGAAUACUGGGAGACUAGAGUACUGGAGAGGAAACUGGAAUUUACGGUGUAGCAGUGAAAUGCGUAGAUAUCGUAAGGAAGACCAGUGGCGAAGGCGAGUCUCUGGACAGCAACUGACGCUGAGGCACGAAGGCCAGGGGAGCAAACGGG